UCAGAUCAAACUAUAUAAACUCUGGUCU
rnacentral:sRNA from 1 species